rnacentral:rRNA from 1 species
CUUAGAAGCAGCCAUCCUUGAAAGAGUGCGUAAUAGCUCACUGGUCGAGUGGUUCCGCGCCGACAAUGUAGUGGGGCUCAAGUACACCGCCGAAGCCGCGGCAACAAUGUUUUGUUGGGUAGGGGAGCGUCGUGCAUGGUGUGAAGCAGUACCGUGAGGGGUUGUGGACUGUGUGCGAGUGAGAAUGCAGGCAUGAGUAACGAGUGUAAGGUGAGAAUCCUUACCGCUGGAUGACUAAGGGUUCCUGGGUCAAGUUCGUCUUCCCAGGGUGAGUCGGGUCCUAAGGCGAGGCCGACAGGCGUAGUCGAUGGUCAACGGGUUGAUAUUCCCGUACCCGUGUGUGUGCGUCAAGUGAUGAAGCGGUGAUACUAACCACCCUGAUCGCUGGCCAUGGCACUACUUUGUGGUGCUGGGUUGGUGUGAUGCGUGGGGCCUGAGUCGUUGUAGUCAAGUGAUGGGGUGACGCAGUGUGGUAGCCAAGCCACUUAUUGGAUUGUGGUGUAAGCGUGUGGCACGACGGUGUGUGAAAUGCCAUCGUUAUUGUGUGUGAGGCGUGAUGCGUAGCCCAGUGUUGGGUGAUGUUGGUGAUCCUGUGCUGUCGAGAAAAGCCUCUAGCGAGUGUGCAUACGGCCCGUACCCGAAACCGACACAGGUGGUCAGGUAGAGAAUACUAAAGCGGUCGGGUGAACUGUGGUUAAGGAAUUCGGCAAAAUUCCCCCGUAACUUCGGGAGAAGGGGGACCUGUGCUGGUAGCUGCAUUGUCGUGUGGUGUGCUGGUGUGGGUCGCAGAGAAGAGAGGGGAGCGACUGUUUAUCAAAAACACAGGUCCGUGCGAAGACGGUUAAGUUGAUGUAUACGGACUGACGCCUGCCCGGUGCUGGAAGGUUACGAGGACCUGUUAGAUCCUUUGUUGGGUCGAAGCGGAGAAUUUAAGCCCCAGUAAACGGCGGUGGUAACUAUAACCAUCCUAAGGUAGCGAAAUUCCUUGUCGGGUAAGUUCCGACCUGCACGAAUGGCGUAACGACUCCCCUGCUGUCUCAACCACAGGCCCGGUGAAAUUGCAGUACGAGUAAAGAUGCUCGUUUCGCGCGGCAGGACGAAAAGACCCCGGGACCUUCACUAUAGCUUGGUAUUGGCAUUCGGUGCGGUUUGUGUAGGAUAGGUGGGAGACUGUGAAGCAUUGACGCUAGUUGGUGUGGAGUCGUUGUUGAAAUACCACUCUGACCGUAGUGGAUAUCUAACCUUGGCCCAUGAUCUGGGUUGGGGACAGUGCCUGGUGGGUAGUUUAAC